UGACGACGCGGGGCCGUGCGCGGGACGCGGAGGCUGGGACGCGCGCGCUGGUCUGUGGGCGCUGUGGUUCAGGCCCGGCGGUUGCUGGGCGCGGGGUGUGUGAGCCCGCAGAGGCCGACAGGAGGAUUCUGGGAGGCGGCACUGGGCCCCGCACAACGCCUGCACCCGGGAGAGAACCCGUUUCCAUCUUGGAAGGCAGGAAUCUAUCCCAGAUGCAUUCUCUGUGCCUGGCCAGGCCCUGGUGGCCUUAAAUGGUGGUGGAGCACAUAGCUCUUCUUCAGUGACAGAUACACACUUCAUCCAACCGUUCUCCAUCCGUCUUGAAGAGGAAACUUCCAACUGACUAGAGGGACCUCCUGAGCACAGACCAAAAGCGAAGGACGCAGAUAGUUUCCAAAGCUAGCAUUGCUCAAUAAAGAUCACAGACGCGGUUCUGGGCCCCGUGACUGCUGCCUUCAUUCUCUGUGAACUAGUCAAGUCAUUUUCUUUUCCCAAGUCCCACUUUUUCACAGUUUGGGGUCUCUACCAGGUCUCCAACCUAAGUUGUGAGUAUGGUGUCCAAAGCGUUCUUUGAGCCCUCUUGAGUGCUCCUGGAGACCAAGACCUUGCUUCAUUGGUAGGACUACUGUGGGAUCAUAAGUGGCACUUUCCUGCCAGCACUGUGAAAUGUGCUCUUUGUCUCCCUUCCCUGCUCUAUUUUUCUAUCUCAGAAGACACUUAUGUACUACCUCUGUUGACUUUUCCACCCAUGUCUUCCUAGGAAAAUUCUUAAAUUCUUUGGACUACCUGGCAGCAUGUCCAGCCUGCGGCCAAUAGCUAUGAAUGAGACCGAACGCAUUAUAAACUUACCUACACGUUAUGUGAUUAUUUAACUUCAUUGUGCUGUUCUCCAGGGAGAACUUUGUAUACAGAUAACAGCAUCUUGUAGCAAUGUCAAAAGCAUGGACAUCCCUAAAGGCCUUCAGGGAACUAAGCAUUAAGUAGGCAUGCUAGCCAAUCUAUUGACUGACUAAAUGCCUUUUCUUCCCUUACAGGACUAAUUUUGAGAAUAAAACAAUUUGAUAGAUGGGAAUGUGCUUUUUCCAACUUAAAAUGGCCACAAAUUAUAAGAUGGAGAUGCAGUAGCCAAGGGGAAGCAAGAAGCUUUUCCAAGACUGGAGUUUUCAUCUUGCUGGAAACUCCAGAAUCAAAAUCAAAACCAGCUGAAGUAGUUACUCGGGUGCCUUCCUUCAGCUUAUUCAAAAGAAUAUAGGAUGAACGG